rnacentral:lncRNA from 1 species
CGGAGCUUCUUUGACCGGGGCGUGAGCGGUUACUUGGGCCAGAAGGUUCUGUGGUGGAGGCCCUCCUCCUGCUGCCCCGCCCAGUGGGUUCGUUUGCACGGCUGCUUCUACACCCUUUCUUCCUCCUCUUUCCUCUCGCCCCGCCUUCCUUCUCUACUUCUCAACCUCUCUGGUUCCUUCCCCCUCCUCGCCACCUUCCACGAUCUCGCGAGACUUGGCCCAGAACAUUGCGGAUCGGGUCGGCGCCAUUUUGGGACUGAGACUGGUUGUGGGGGAGGGAAAAGCGGCAAAAGGGGAUUAUUCAAAGUACCGAAAACCUCCUCCCGGGAUCGAGCGCAGCGGCACCCCCAGGCCAGGGGCACCUCUGGUGGGGCAGAAGGUGACUGAGUUUGGCAGAUAUGAAGAUCAUCAUCUAGGUUUUGUUUAAAGGCCCCGGAUAUUUCAAGUGGCCAUUUUGGAAUUACAGUUUGUUUUUGUUUGGGGUAAUUUUGCCCCAGAAGUUUAUUAAAAUUGGCAAGAAUCAUCUCUGAAGUGAAUGAUAGUAGUGAACAACGAGCUACUUAAAAGACCCAGCCAUUUCUUCAGUAUUUUGGUUCAAACGGAUUAUAUAAGUGGUUAAAGUAUUUCGUCUGGUGUUAAUUUUGUCUCUUCCCCCUCUCCUGUUGGUGUUCUUCAGCCAAAACUGUAAGAUAUGUUUGAUUUGUGUACUGAGUAGUUUCAGCAGUUUCAAAUUACUGUUUAAAUAUUGCUGAAGUUUUGUGGCAGUUCUUUUUACCUUUAUUAAAAGUUUUAGUAAUUUUUGACUUCAGCUCUUUUCAUAUUACAAUGGGACAGCUUUUCUAAAUGAAGACAUUGAAAGAAUACAGAGUUUUUUUCUUCUUAUCUUUUAUUUACUUGGGAAUGUAAGAUGUUCCAGUUCCACAGCAGCAUGGUAGUGUUGAGAUAGCUCUUUGUUGUCUGUAUACGCUGAUGUUUAGACGUAAUCUUCAGAUGUGAAAUUUUUCUUUUUGUUUCUGCUUUUUGGCACAUAAAUUGGAUAUUUCAUCUGGAUUGGAUAAGUACAACAGUGACAAAUACAUGGAAUAGUAAAGAAGACCUUGCUCUUGAAUCCAAGGAACUUGGCUAAUUCUGGAUCUAGCCAUAUGAAAACUUCAAAAUAAAUAUGGGUAGCUGACUUCAAGUAACUCUAUGUCAAAUAGUCAUAGGUUAAGUAUCUUCAAAGAACUUGGAUAUUUCAGAGGAUACAAAAUAAAAAAACAAACUGGAAAACAUAAAGCUUAUAGAGAAAAAAUCAACACCUUCCUGUGCAGUCCCCUUGGAAUUUGUAAGUACCUCUAUGGUGAGCACAUUAGAUGUUCAUUUGUAAUCUGUAGUAAGAGUCAAAUUGAUCCUGUCUUAUUUUUGGAAACCUUUCAGUUUCUUGAAAAAAAUGUUUUUGAUUAAAUUUC